UCGCCGCUUUGACCCUGACACCCCAUAUCAUCAGUCUCGCCUGGCCGUGCUCAACCUUAAUUCUUCCCGGAACGAGUCCUUCCGCGGCCGGUGGCGACCGCCGCUUCUAUUGUCCUCUGCGACUCCGCCUAGAUUCGAUUUGGCUCCUCCUGUCCGUCUCCUUCCUCUCAUGGAUUAGUGGAUCUUCCAUUUUUCUGGACUGAAGCAGCUACCUCGACUUCAGUCCGCAGCCGCCUGGCGAGUUACGGUUCGAACCAUCUACCUCAACCUCAGUCCGCAGCCUCCUCCGGAGGUCCUCCGGCUCGCUAGCACUACCUCCCCGCCUGCAGGUGGCCUCACGAGGACGUUCGGAUCCGUAUGGAUGUGGAAGGGGAAGAAGAGAGGGCGUGGGGGAUCAUCCGCGUGAGGAAGAUGAUAUCCCUGCACUAGCUCGGCCUCGACACCGUUAAGGAAUUGAUGUAUGCCCUUCUCGAGCGCCGAUUCCUCUCUCUCCCUGCUUCACCUUUUCUCUCAAGCAGGAGAGGACGCCCCAAGGACGGAGACGGGCCGAUUCCGCACGAGGACGACCAUGCGCGCGUCACGCCGAUGGCUUGACAGAAGCGCUGGUUGUUGCUCGGGAUCAGGGAGCACUGGCUUGCCACGGAGCCGCCCUGCUACCAACGACGAAUCAGUGGGUAAGGUGGGGCGCACAGACGGAUGAGGUCCCGGUGGCGGCGGCCCUCAGGCUUGGCGCUCGGUGAGCGGCUAUUCCUCCCAAUGGAGAUCCAGUUGGAGCGGCCACCGCGGCCGUUGCUUCUCCAUCGCAACUUCAACCAGGGGUCACCGCCAUUUUAUCCAGAAGAGAGAAGAGGAGAGGCGGGUGCCAGGAGCGCCGGUGGUGGCACCAGGUCGACCAUGGCCGGUGUAUCCAUACUCCACACCAAGAUUUUGGCUCCCACGGGUUACCAGCUCAGGUGCUCUCAUAGCAGGUCAGCCACAUAAGCUUCGGGGCGAAUCCAGGGCGCGCGCACGUGAAGGCACGAGUCCGGUGAUCACCUGUACGGAACUGCGGCUUCAAGGUGGACCAUUCCUCUCCUGUCCUUUUUACUUCCCUUGAUUAGAUAAUUUUGCCCGUAUUUUUUUUCUUUUUUCAGUUCAUUCAAGUCAAGCCAUCACUGGUUCACCACAUUGCACGGUGGGGGACUAGGCGUGUGGAAGAACUUGCAAGUUGCAGCCCAUCAUGGCGGUGAUGUUCAAGGCCAAGUCAACAUGCUUCUUGCUGUUGGAGUCUGUGGUGCAGGUCUCCUACGGUGCAGCUCCGCGCAGCGACAAAUUCAUUCAACAUCCUCAAGAAAGAGCUACAGGUCAGUGGAUCAUCCUGGAUUGUUCUGACGGAGGUGGUGCCACCGCCGGAGAACUUUCCUUUGUUUGCCUAUACUGCUCUCCCAUUUAGCAUGUUGCCAGAUCGAAUCGAUCAGAAUAUACUUCUAUCUGACGUUGUUGGAUUGGUGAACAAGGUCACUGAUGUUUUGCCCCUUUCUGGUAAUGCUAGGAGCUAGAAACGUCAAGUGUAUAUCACAGAUGGCAGCGAGCAUGCUAUUGCUACCCUUUGUGGGGACCAGGCUGAUUUAUUUGAUGCUUAUGGGUUGAUUGAGGCAUCGGAUGAGGAGCCUAUUAUCGUUUUAUUUGUUAGCAUGACAGUUAUUCACUGCUCAGGUAGUCAGGUUUAUUGGCCUUCAAGAAUACACCUGUUACAAGAUGGCAUGUUAAUGUGCCGAUUCUAGAGAUAGCUGAUGUUCGGGAGAGUUCGAAACAUCUACCGUGGUGCAUUGAGCUGCACAGUGCAAAUUAAAGUCGCGCUGAGCAGACCAUAUCAUCAAUCUUGGAGAUGGUGGAAUUUGAUCCGAAUGAGUCCUACUGUGCAUCUUUUUCUCCCCUACAUUCUCUGGUUAAAUCUGUUGUUAAUUGUGUGUAGGGUGAGCGUUAUAAGAUAUCCAUUAGAAUUACUGACCUUCUCACAACUAAGGGUUGUAUUAUAUAAGCUGCAAAUAAUGUUGGAAGAUGAUUACUUUAGAGGAUGGAGUAUACGAACGCCCUUGGUGCCCCUCUGCCCAGGUAUAGGCUUAUUGUUGGAGUAGUUGACGCUGGUUCGACAGAUCCCCACGCUGCCAAAUUUACAGACCUUUAUUUGUCUGGGCCACUUGGACAAACUCUCUUCCAAAAAGAGGCGUUGCUGCUUAUGUCAAGUGUAAAAGGACUGGCUAAUGUUGCGCCCAAGGAUUUACUUGAGAAAUCAGUGUUGUUGCAACCCUGGACGUGAAUAACUAGAUUCAUUGCACAACCACCUCCAGGUAGAAAUUGUUGAGCCGAUUGUCUUUGCCAAUGUUGUCUUGCGAGAGGGAGUGGAUGGUUCAGCCGUAGGUUAGCACAAUGUUGGCCUCCCUACUCCUGAAACCCCAAAGCAGGUUCCAGGUCCCAUGCUGAGACACCAACUCCUCCACCGUCUAUGGAUCUCACGCUACAGACUGCAGGCAACAACUUCAGCUUCUGUUAUUGAUAAUGAGAAAAAAAUGCAAUUUAAGUUUUU